AGCGACUGUGCAGGUUACCGCGGCUGCUGGCACGGAGUUAGCCGGUGCUUCUUCUGUGAGUGAUGUCCUUCCUGCCGGCUAUUAACCCGCAGGCCUUCUUCCUCACUGAAAGUGCUUUACAACCCGAAGGCCUUCUUCACACACGCGGCAUGGCUGGAUCAGGGUUGCCCCCAUUGUCCAAUAUUCCCCACUGCUGCCUCCCGUAGGAGUCUGGGCCGUGUCUCAGUCCCAGUGUGGCUGAUCAUCCUCUCAGACCAGCUACGGAUCGUCGCCUUGGUGAGCCGUUACCUCACCAACCAGCUAAUCCGACAUAGGCUCAUCCGAUAGCGCGAGGCCCGAAGGUCCCCCGCUUUCCCCCGGUAGGGCGUAUGCGGUAUUAGCCUGGGUUUCCCCAGGUUAUCCCCCACUACCGGGCAGAUUCCUAUGCAUUACUCACCCGUCCGCCGCUCGCCACCAGGGAGCAGCUCCCCGUGCUGCCGCUCGACUUGCAUGUGUUAGGCCUGCCGCCAGCGUUCAAU
rnacentral:rRNA from 1 species